GAGGUCACUUCUUUGAUCCCCCUGUGAGACCAGUGGAACACAAGGAAUGUUUCCCACUGUAUCAUGUCCAGUAAAUACAACCAGGGGCUUCUGUGUUUUGUCUCCUUCCCCCUUUCUUCCCCAUGAAGGGUGAUUUUUCUCCAUCUUAUUGCGUCACCUGUUUGCUUUAAACUAGAAAACAAAUAACCGCAUCUCUAGUGAGCCUCCCCUUUGUCCCUAGGUAUCAGAAUGGUGCGUGGGUUUGGUUUGAAGCUAAAGAAAGGAGAAAGAGCCAGAGAAGAAGAAAAAAAGAUUCCCUGCAGCCUGCCAGGGACGUGGUAACUGCCCUGCCAAGAGUGAUCCUGGGAGAGCUAUUGAAAGAGCUCUGACUCACGACAACGCUGGAUCAUCAACCCACUGAGUGAGGCCAGAGAUCAAACCCGAGUUUUCCUGCACACCAGUUAGGUUUGUUACCACUGAGCCGCAACAGGAACUCCCAGGAGCUUUAUGAGUGAAUGAAUAAAUGCAUCAUUCCACCCCCA
rnacentral:lncRNA from 1 species